GAAUGCCAGGCUCAGAGAAGACGAAGAUCCAUCUAGCAAAUGGUGGCCAGCCUGUCUGACCAUGGUAUAUAGCAUGGAAUACUAAGCCUCACUGCGUUCAGCCCAGAGACUUGAGCGAUCUUUUGGCACUGCUCAAAUCAAACCUUGUAGGAAGACACCCGCAUCACUGGAAGUGUGUGCUCAGCUUUGUCCUUGUCACCUGCCAUGUCAGGAGUUUGUGUUGGAACUCCCUUCCUAAGCCAGAAGUAAAGGGGAUAACUGUGAACCAGUGAUCGAGUUGGGGAUUUAAAACAGUGUGUCCAUCAAGUGGGUAGCAGCAGACACCUGAGUGCUUAUGAUCUGCCAGGCACUAGGGCUUGAAGAUGUCACCACAGCAGCCGGUAAGCCCAACAGGGCGGGCAAGAGCACCGAUUCAUUCGCACACACGGGGACUGUGGGGCUGUGCGCUGGGGAGAUGCCCAUGAAUAAAACAUCCUUCCUCUUAUUCAAGAGAAGACGAAACCAAAUUGCCCUGUGAUGUGACUGAAUCUGCAAUUUAAAGAGAGGAGCACGUGCGAAUUUCUUUCUGUUCCAUCGCAGCAGCCCCUCUGUUCUCACACACUCCGCCCCCCAACCUGUCGUCACUCAGAGAUGUGGGGCUCUGGGCGCUUGAAUGAAUUAAACAGACUCAUUGGCGCGUGAGGGCUGGGAGGAGGGAAAAGGAGAAGGUGGCAGAGGAAGAUGGAGGAUAAAUUAAAAAGAGGGCAAGGAUUAGAGCGGAAACCAGGAAUGACCUGGAAGAGAGACCUGGAAUGUUCCAGUUGGAACCAUCAUAUUACUAACCACGAGAAUGGGGCACAUUUGUUGAGUUCUUUUAGUACCAGGCAGUGUUCUAGGUCUUUUAUACCUAUUAGCAUAUUGAAUCUUUCCAACUGCCCAAGGAGACGGCUGCUGUCAUAAACAACUCCGUAUGACUGAUGAGAAACUGGAAGCUCUGAGGGGAACGAUGAUUUGGCCAAGAUACUGCCACCAACUGGAGGCCCCUCUUACCUGGAGCCUGUACUUGUCCAGUGGCCUCUGCACAGAUGCCCGUGACACUGUGGGACAGUCACACACUGGACUGGCUCCUCUUCUUCUGACUCUUGGGCAGUGCUAAUGUAUUUCAGCAGCAAUUUAACCUCAGAGACCUGUAGGCCUACAUGGGACAGAUGACGCACAGAGCAUCUUGCCUGAGCCUGCUGGCCUCACCACAAUGCCCUUGAACUGUCUGUGGCCUACAGAGGCCUUCCAGUGAAAGACCACCAAGUCUCAUGUUCUUCCUCAUGGGACAACACAGGAACUGGUCUACAAUGAUGAAAAUACUGUACUCCAACAGAUUUUCUGGGAAAAUAUUCUUGCCUCUUUUGAUAACUCCUCUCAAUAUUUGCAGCGUUGUUCAGCUCUAACCUAGAUUUAAGUUCUUCCUACAACCCAAAGUGGUUGGUUCUCUUUGGUCUGAUCCUCAGGUGAGAAACUCCAGGAUGUUCGCCACUGUGUUGGGAGUGGGUGAGUAUAGGAAGGAAGGUAGAGAAUAGUAGAGAUUCCUACGGUUCCUGCAAAACCAACAAGCAUAAGCCAUGGGAGAUAUAAGAGCUACCAUUUGUUGCGUACCUACUCUGUAUGCAGUACCCUGCAUGGAUUUGCCAACUUCUCAUCACAGGUAGGAUCAGUUAUCCAUAUUCAACGAAGCUGGAGCCAGGAUGAGGUUGCUUGCCUGAUGUCACAGCAAUCAUGAAAACUGCAUAACUAGAGAGAGGUUUAUGAUUCCAAUCUUGUAACAUUCAUCUGUGUGAAAAGCACCUGUGAGUAUAUCCUCCAUGCCAGACACUGGUCUAGGCACUGAGAACACAAAACACACACGGAUAUAAACAUGUUGACAAAUAUCUCUGCCUUACUCAUUUCCAUUAUUUCCAGAAUCACAGCCACAAUGGAGACUGAAACACUAUGCCCAGAUGGGUAAGACAGUCCAAAGAUGCUGACUGGCAUGCUCUUGGUCACACGGGAAAUCCACAGGCAGAGCCAGGAGUCCUGACUCUUGACCUCUCUUUGGUGUUCCUCCCAGAUUUGGAGGCCAACUUUCCUAGGCAGUCAGAGACCCUUUUAUGUUUUGGUUUCCUCACCAAAACAUAAUAGAUUUCCUCAUUGCUUUGGAGGGUUUUCCUUGCUGUGCAAGCCUGGUGGAGGGGAAAGCUCUUGUUCCUCAUCUUCCUCUUCUAAGUACGUAGAUGCACAGCAUUGCGGGAUUUUUCUUCUCUUUCUUCUUCUCCUUCUUCUUUUUUUUUUUUGUGCAUGGUAUUUAUGAGGGCUUUUUCCCCUGCGGCUGCCCCAUGUUCUGAAAUGUGAACAUGGCAAACAGGAUGGAUACAUUUUUAGAGCAGUAAGUACAACCAGAUGUGGAUGAGGCUGAAGAAAUACAGGAAGCUUUUGUGAGGGACACAGAGCCUGGAGGCCCAGCCUAUUCCUCUCCUCUCUGGGGAAAUGAGUUUAAGACUAGCAAAACACCACAGUCAAGGUGUUCUGCAAAUAAGUAUGCCAGCUCCGUGAACCCUCUGCCAGACCAGGGGCCUGGUGCUACACCCAUUCAUCCAGCUCUUCAUAACAGCAGAUGGUAGCCAGGCGCUUGACACAGCCUCUUUCAUCUCAUUCCAACAAUCGCACACAUGAAACUGACGGACUCCAGGCUCAGCUGGGCUAAGUAAACUGGCCAAAGUCGCACAGGUAGGCAGCCAGCAAGGUUGACAUGCAGACCAGGACCACUGGGCUGAAAGCCCACUUUCCUUUCGGCCACCAUACUAUCUCUCUAGGCCACUCUCUCUCCCAGGAUCUGCUGGCCAAGGACAGAGGAUACACCAUCCCCACUACCAGUCAAUGGGAAAUGCUUCCUGGGAGUAUUGUGCAGCCAGUGACGAGACAGUACUUAUCCUUGAAGAAUUCAAAAUGAACAAAGAAGCAGGAUGUGAAUGCAUCCAACAGCUGGGAGUGACACUUGGCAGUAGGUACCCGACCAUGUUUAGUCCUGGAGAAGAACAUGUAGAUGCUUCAAGAGCUACCUGCACAACAACAGGCUGGAGAGAUUUAAGCCACAUCUUGAAAGACAGGAGGGAUUUGGAGAGGCAGUGGGGUGUGAGAAGUACACAAUGCUGAGUGUGUAAAAACAGCAGGGGUGCAGAGAAAAAUUAGAGAGGUGGGGUCAGGGAGAUGAAAAGUAACACUUCUCAGCACUGACUUCAGGAAUAGUGCUGGGGCCUACAUAUAUUAUCUCACUUACUUAAAUCAACUACAUUUGUAAGAAACCACUUGCAUAUUCGUGUACAGUUCAAUGAAUUUUAAUAAAUGUAUGAAGUGCCUUCAGUGUUCUUUUGUAGUCAGUUACCUGCCUCUUCACCCCAGCCAACCAAGCACUAAUCAACUUGCUGUUGUUAUAAAUUGGAUUUGGUUCUGCUAGAUUUCAUGUAAAUAGCAUCACCCAGUAAAAAGCCUUUUAUGUUUGGCAA